rnacentral:rRNA from 1 species
GACGAACGCUGGCGGCGUGCUUAACACAUGCAAGUCGAACGAUGACGACCGAGCUUGCUCGGUCUGAUUAGUGGCGAACGGGUGAGUAACACGUGAGCAACCUGCCCUUCACUCUGGGAUAACCUCGGGAAAUCGGGGCUAAUACCGGAUAUGAGCUCCUGCCGCAUGGCGGGUGUUGGAAAGUUUUUCGGCGAAGGAUGGGCUCGCGGCCUAUCAGUUUGUUGGUGGGGUAGUGGCUCACCAAGGCGAUGACGGGUUGCCGGCCUGAGAGGGCGACCGGCCACACUGGGACUGGGACACGGCCCAGACUCCUACGGGAGGCAGCAGUGGGGAAUAUUGCACAAUGGGCGAAAGCCUGAUGCAGCGACGCCGCGGGAGGGAUGACGGCCUUCGGGUUGUAAACCUCUUUCAGCAGGGAAGAAGCGAAAGUGACGGUACCUGCAGAAGAAGCGCCGGCUAACUACGGGC